UCCGUGAUAGCUCAGUGGUAAAGAAUCUGCCUGCAAUGCAGGAGACCCAGGUUUAAUCCCUGGGUUGGGAA
rnacentral:tRNA from 1 species